CAUAAACGGUGAUAAAAACAAAAUUUCAAAUGUAAUUGAAUCAUAUUUACAGAUUUUUUUGUUUUUUGAGUGGGUUAAAAUGACCAUUUCUAGCUGAGAUUUGGAGCCAAACUACUGAUUGUUUUUGCAGUUCUGCACUGUAUGUACCUACACUGUCUGAGCUAAAGAUGAUGGAACAGAAUUUAAAGAAAUUUAAAAAGCAUUUUCUUUUCUUCUUCUUCUUAUUUUAUUUAUGUUAUUUGUUCAUGUAGGGGGACCCUGCUCCACCUUUCCUACCACACACCUGAUGGAUACUGAUUGUAAAAUGGCAAUCAUAGGAGGAGGGCUCACUGUGAAUAUAUGUAUUGUUGACUGCAAGUCUGUCAGUCCAGAUGUGAGGAAGACACACAGAGUGGAGCUGGAGCUCAGCAGAUGUGUGAUGCUGUAGAUACUGUGGUCUUAGAAAGAAGGGCAUCUUCACAGCUUUCUAUUCAGACAAAGAGUUUCCUGGAUUCUGUUCUAUGGACUGCUACUACAGGAUGAAUUAAUGAAUGAGUUUAUCUAUCUAUCUAUCUAUCUAUCUAUCUAUCUAUCUAUCUAUCUAUCUAUCUAUCUAUCUAUCUAUCUGUCUAUCUAUCUAUUGAAUUGACAACUGAAACUGAAAGCUAAAUAAAUGUUUUAGUGGAUAA